rnacentral:tRNA from 1 species
GCCGGAGUGGCGGAAUAGGCAGACGCACCGGACUUAAAAUCCGGCGAGCCGAAAGGUUCGUACCGGUUCGACCCCGGUCUCCGGCACCA